ensembl:lncRNA
CACGCAGACUUUAAGUUAUAAUCGAGGCUUGUUUGGUCUUACCCGGCUGUUGCUGCCUUCACCUUACACAGACUGCUGAGGCACUUUGCAUAACUCUGCUAUGAUGGUCAUCAGGGACGUUGUCCAUUACAGUUUAUGAAGUUUGGCCUAUUGUGGCCUUCACAUGUCACAGCGACUUGGCUUAAAUUGAGUAUCUCUUUUUAUGGUCAUGCUGAUCUGGCUCAUUUUCUAUGGGGGGGGGGGGGUAGGUUUCCUCUACAGUUUCUGGCAGUUAGAUGGAGUUUUAUCAAGAGUGCGCAGGAGUCUAGCCUAAAGAAUUGUAUCUGUGUAUAUGCUCUUAUGUCUGCUAGAACCCUAAUUCUACCUCUUAUCAAUUAACCUAAUCACCUUUCUUACUAAAUGAGGUGGUUUAGAAUUCCUGUAAUUUGCCUUCAGGCUGCUAUGUACAUGAUCCUUCUCAUCGGAUGUCCGUCAAGAUCAGACUUUUUCACGUAAUGCUCAAGGUACAGUAUAAUACUCUUAGCAAACUACUGGCGGUGACUACUUCUCACAUGCUCCCCAUGUCCAGUUUAUCAUGGUUUUUCACACACAAUGGUCUAUCGUUGUUAUCUACACACAAGGCUUUCACAUCACAUAGCUUAAAGAAAAGUACAUUGCCUAUCAACGUAAUGUAAUGCGUGUGUUUAAGGUAAAUUAAGCAAAUACUGGUGGUGGUGGUGUUACACCUAUUCAUUACAUUUACUCUUCCACCACCUCUCGCAGGCUUCUGUCAUGGCCUUAGCAGCUAUACUCUCUACGGCCUCUUGUAGCGUUCUUUCACGGCCUAUCAGGGCCUUUGUCUCUGCGGCUGGUUCAGCUCAAUGUAGUCACGUUUAGAAGCUGCGGUCUGUCACCGCUUCUAUACACUGGUCACUAAUGCUGUUGAACUCGGAGUACAAACAUCAGAUAUGAAGCUACUGGGAAGAUGGUCAUCCUCUGCAUUUGAAUCCUACAUUAGACCUGAAUUACUAAACAUCUUAAGGUAUAUCAAGCUGUCCUCAAGGUAAUCUAUAUGCAAAUAAUGGUGGUAGUACAAUUCCUCUUCAUAUUACUCCCAACAACCUCUGAUUACUGUGCCUUAACUAGUCCUUUCUUUUUUGGCCCGUCUUUCGUGGCCUUCCCCUCUGUUACCCAUCUCGUGCUGUUCCCACCGUGGUCUAAUUACAUGGCCUUCCUCUCUGUGCAUACUGCAUUUCAUUUCAUUCUACGGCCUCUUGGCUUUCGCACUGGUCCAUUUGGACAUCCUCAUCUGUGGCCUAGCUAGGCCUUUUCUCUGCAGCCUUCGUGGCUUUCUUUUAAGGCCCGCCGGGGCCGUUAACCACUGUGGCCCGCCGGGGCCGUUAACCACUGUGGCCCGCCGGGGCCGUUAACCACUGUGACCCGCCGGGGCCGUUAACCACUGUGGCCCGCCGGGGCCUUUUCUGUGGCCUAUCGUGGCCUGCCUCUCUCUCACUGUCCGGCCUAUCGUGGCUUGCCUCUCUCUCACUGUCCGGCCUAUCGUGGCCUGCCUCUCUCUCUCACUGUCCGGCCUAUUGUGGCCUGCCUCUUUCUCUCUCACUGUCCGGCCUAUUGUGGCCUCUCUCGAAGGCUCUGUGGUCUAUCUUCAUUGCAUAUAAGCUAAUACUUUAGCUAUAAUCUAAUGUUGUAUUCUUAUGUCUGGCUAAUUAUCUCAAUUUAUCUCUUUCGUUCAUGUUCCAGGAUCCUCUAAGAAAUACUUCAUCUGGUGCGUAUUACAUUAUUCUUCUUUCUUUUGGGGUAGGCUCCGCCCUGCCUUCCUCUUCGGCAGGAUUAGCUGGUAUCUACAAACUUCAGAUCCACGCUACGGAUGGGGCCUAUGCCAAAAUAAUUCUAUUUUUUGUGUUUUUGUAAAUAAAUACUUCAGUCUUAUCUCUACCUCCUGAGUCUUUCUGGUAGAACUUAAUUUCUGUCUUUAAGUUGUCCAGACACUUACAAAUUGUGCUCAUGUAUAUAUUCUCCGGUGGAAGAAAAAGAAAGAAGAACAAGGAAGAGAGAGAAUGGAAAGUAAAAAAUAUUGCAAAAAUCUCAGUUGCAUCUCCUAGACAACAACGGGAGAGCAAAUGGAGACUUUGCCUUGUGCUUCUAGGAUAUUUUCUAUCGAGGAAAAAUACACAAGUAUUAUAGUUUCAGUUGAACUUCUGAAGCGAUCUUAAUAAUAUAAACCAUUAUCAAACAGUGCUUGACUGUUAAACCUGCAGUAAUGCCGUAGCAUGUAAGGUGGAGGCAGCUUCUCCACAGGCCACAUAAGCAUUGUCGGACAGACCAGACGAGUACUUACAGACCCGGGAGAGGAGGUAUGGUUUGCACUGCCGGGUGGAGGCGGUAUUAGGACACAACUGCAUCGCAACUGACCGCUCCACUGGGGGGACCCCCGUAUACCCCCUAGCUGCAGCACUGUCGAGAGUGGUGAGGGAGGAGGAGUAAGCAGGUCAGUUUUCAGCAGAAAAAGGUACCAUCCACGACCUGGUAGGCCCCUCAUGCACCUCCGGGAAGAAUGGCAAUGGGUCGGGGCACUGAGAAUUAGUGCGGGCCACCCCAAGGAACCAAUCAUUUAACUUUGUGGGAUUGGAACACAGUGGAGGUCUCCACUCAAGCCCUACUCUUACGGUGGCCUGGGAAAGCAUAGCUGUCAUUUCUGGAUCCGAUUCAGGCAUUGCUACAGUCCUGGAGGGCAGCAGCACAGCCAAAUCUUCCUCUCCAGAAAGCUCCGGCUCACCCUUCGAGGCAGCAAUUUACAUCCUGUUGUUGGGAGGAGCGCCAAGGAUACUGCUGGUACGCUUCUUGUAGAGGGCGCAACACAUUCCUUUGGCAGCUCGCAAGAGGAGCGAUGGUCCCUGGAGGGUUGGUUCCCUGGAGGGUUUGCCAUCACUGUUACCCUUAGACCACCCGUGCUACUGCCUGAAGUAGGCCCCACCUUAAUGCCGCCAUGACGAGAACUAGAUUGAGGCAGAGGCAACGGAGCUCCGCCUCUUUUGAGGUCACUGUAGCCACCAGGUCCAGUCUGUAUCCAAGUCAGAGGGUCACUGCAGUCACCCGGAUCCAGUACGUAUCCAGCCCAGAUGGUGGAUCAGCACCUAGAAAGGACCUCUACAGCCCUGAAAGACAGCGGAGACCAGGACAACUAGAACCCCAGAGACAGAUCCCCUGUAAAGACCUUGUCUCAGACGACCACCGAGACAAGACCACAAGAAAAAGAUGAUUCAUCUGCACAAUCUGACUUUGCUGCAGCCUUGAAUUGAACUGCUGGUUUUGUCUGGUCAGAGGAGAACUGGCCCCCCGACUGAGCCUGGUUUCUUCCAAGGUUUUUUUUCCAUUCUGUCAUUGGAGUUUUGGUUCCUUGCCGCUGUCGCCUCUGGCUUGCUUAGUUGGGGACAUUUCAUUUACAGCGAUAUCGUUGACUUGAUUGCAAAUGAUUGCACAGAUACUAUUUAACCCUCUGGAGUCGAUUAACGCGUAUACGCGUUUUGGGGUAUUUUCUCCUGAUAACCCCGAAAAGAACUUAAAUUACACUUUCAGUUUUGAUCGUACAGAUAAGUGCAAUACAUCAAUCGAAUCUGUAAAGGGUCUACUUUUUUU